AUUGAACGCUGGCGGCAUGCCUUACACAUGCAAGUCGAGCGGCAGCGCGGGGGCAACCCUGGCGGCGAGCGGCGAACGGGUGAGUAAUGCAUCGGAACGUGUCCUUUUGUGGGGGAUAACCAGUCGAAAGACUGGCUAAUACCGCAUGAGCUCGAGAGAGGAAAGCAGGGGACCGCAAGGCCUUGCGCGAGAGGAGCGGCCGAUGCCCGAUUAGCAGUUGGUGAGGUAACGGCUCACCAAGGCGACGAUCGGUAGCUGGUUUGAGAGAACGACCAGCCACACUGGGACUGAGACACGGCCCAGACUCCUACGGGAGGCAGCAGUGGGGAAUUUUGGACAAUGGGGGAAACCCUGAUCCAGCCAUGCCGCGUGUGUGAAGAA
rnacentral:rRNA from 1 species